CGGGGUGUGGUACAACGGCAGUAUACAUGCUUUGGGAGCAUGGGAUCUGAGUUCAAUUCUCAGCACCCCGA
rnacentral:tRNA from 1 species